UACAAAGGAACAUAGACUAAGAACGCCACUUCCUUUGGCAACGUCUGCAUGGCCCCUAUCCUGGGGG
rnacentral:sRNA from 2 species